rnacentral:rRNA from 1 species
GUGGGGAAUAUUGGACAAUGGGCGAAAGCCUGAUCCAGCCAUGCCGCGUGUGUGAAGAAGGUCUUCGGAUUGUAAAGCACUUUAAGUUGGGAGGAAGGGCAGUAAGUUAAUACCUUGCUGUUUUGACGUUACCAACAGAAUAAGCACCGGCUAACUUCGUGUCAGCAGCCGCGGUAAUACGAAGGGUGCAAGCGUUAAUCGGAAUUACUGGGCGUAAAGCGCGCGUAGGUGGUUCAGCAAGUUGAAGGUGAAAUCCCCGGGCUCAACCUGGGAACUGCCUCCAAAACUACUGAGCUAGAGUACGGUAGAGGGUAGUGGAAUUUCCUGUGUAGCGGUGAAAUGCGUAGAUAUAGGAAGGAACACCAGUGGCGAAGGCGACUACCUGGACUGAUACUGACACUGAGGUGCGAAAGCGUGGGGAGCAAACAGGAUUAGAAACCUCUGUAGUCC